GGCACGAUGGCUGAGUGGUCUAUAGCGUAAGACUCGAAAUCUUAUCUCUUCGGAGGCGUCGGUUCAAAUCCGGCUCGUGUCG